GACGAACGCUGGCGGCGUGCUUAACACAUGCAAGUCGAACGAUGAAGCUGGAGCUUGCUCUGGCGGAUUAGUGCGAACGGGUGAGUAACACGUGAGAAAUCUGCCCUUGACUCUGGGAUAACUGCGGGAAACUGUAGCUAAUACCGGAUACUUUCCGUGGUGGGCACCCACUGGGGAAGAAAGAAUUUCGGUAAAGGAUGAUCUCGCGGCCUAUCAGCUUGUUGGUGAGGUAAUGGCUAACCAAGGCGACGACGGGUAGCCGGCCUGAGAGGGUGACCGGGUACACCGCGAACGAGAAACGGGCCAGAGUCCUACGGGAGGCAGCGCUGGGGGCUAUUGCGCAAAGAGCGGAAGGCUCAUGCAGGAUCGCCGCGGUAGGGAUGAUCGUUUUCGGGUUGUAAACCUCUUUUAGCAGGGAAGAAGCGAAAGUGACGGUACCUGCAGAAAAAGCACCGGCUAACUACGUGCCAGCCGCCGCCGUAA
rnacentral:rRNA from 1 species